rnacentral:piRNA from 1 species
UUCAUUGAGCACCCAGAGGUCACUGGCAGA